rnacentral:rRNA from 1 species
UUGAGUAGCGAGAGAAAGGUGGGAAUCCUUUCGGCCGAAUAUCUAAGGUUUCCAGAGUAAAGCUGAUCUGCUCUGGGUAAGUCGGGGCCUAAGCACAGGUCGCAAGACGUAAGCGAUGGAUAACAGGUUUAGAUUCCUGUACCACGCAUUAUCAGAACUGUAGGGACGCAUGUGGAAAGCACGAGCCGGGAAUGGAAAGACCGGUACAAGCGGGGUAGGUGUACAACAGGCAAAUCCGUUGUAUAAUCCGAAGACGUGAUGUGGAGCGAAAUAAAGUAGUGAAGCGUGUGAGCCAUGUGCCGAGAAAAGCUGCUAUUGUGUAAUGCGUGCCCGUACCGUAAACCGACACAGGUGGAUGAGGAGAGAAUCCUAAGGCCGACGGAAGAAGCAUUGUUAAGGAAUUCGGCAAAAUGACCCCGUAACUUCGGGAGAAGGGGUGCCUGCGAGAGCAGGCCGCAGAGAAUAGGCUCAAGCAACUGUUUAGCAAAAACACAGGUCUAUGCGAAACCGAAAGGUGAAGUAUAUGGGCUGACGCCUGCCCGGUGCUGGAAGGUUAAGAGGAGAGGUUAGCGUAAGCGAAGCUUUGAAUUUAAGCCCCAGUAAACGGCGGCCGUAACAAUAACGGUCCUAAGGUAGCGAAAUUCCUUGUCGGGUAAGUUCCGACCCGCACGAAAGGCGUAAUGAUUUGAGCACUGUCUCGACAAUGCAUCCGGUGAAAUUGAAGUACCAGUGAAGAUGCUGGUUACCCGCGCCAGGACGGAUAGACCCCAUGGAGCUUUACUCCAGUUUGAUACUGGGAUUUGGUACUGCAUGUACAGGAUAGGUGGGAGACAAAGAAGGAUGGACGCCAGUCUGUCCGGAGUCGCUGUUGGGAUACCACCCCUGUAGUACUGGGUUUCUAACCAGUUGCCAUGAACUGGCAAUGGGACAAUGUCAGGCGGGGAGUUUGACUGGGGCGGUCGCCUCCGAAAGGGUAUCGGAGGCGCUCAAAGGUUCCCUCAGAAUGGUUGGAAACCAUUUGAAGAGUGCAAAGGCAGAAGGGGGCUUGACUGCGACACCGACGGGUGGAGCAGGUACGAAAGUAGGACUUAGUGAUCCGGUGGUAUAAAGUGGGAUUGCCAUCGCUCAACGGAUAAAAGCUACCCUGGGAUAACAGGCUUAUCACUCCCAAGAGUUCACAUCGACGGAGUGGUUUGGCACCUCGAUGUCGGCUCAUCGCAUCCUGGGGCUGUAGCAGGUCCCAAGGGUUGGGCUGUUCGCCCAUUAAAGCGGUACGCGAGCUGGGUUCAGAACGUCGUGAGACAGUUCGGUCCCUAUCCGGCGCGGGCGGAGGAUAUUUGAGAGGAGCUGUCCUUAGUACGAGAGGACCGGGAUGGACGGACCACUGGUGUAUCUGUUGUCGACCAACGGCAUGGCAGAGUAGCCAAGUCUGGAAGGGAUAAACGCUGAAGGCAUCUAAGCGUGAAGCCCCCCUCAAGAUGAGAUAUCCCUG